rnacentral:rRNA from 1 species
AGCGAGCGCUGGCGGCAGGCUUAACACAUGCAAGUCGAGCGGGCCCUUCGGGGUCAGCGGCGGACGGGUGAGUAACGCGUGGGAACGUGCCUUCUGGUCUGGAAUAACCCUGGGAAACUAGGGCUAAUACCGGAUACGCCCUUUUGGGGAAAGGUUUACUGCCGGAAGAUCGGCCCGCGUCUGAUUAGCUAGUUGGUGGGGUAACGGCCUACCAAGGCGACGAUCAGUAGCUGGUCUGAGAGGAUGAUCAGCCACACUGGGACUGAGACACGGCCCAGACUCCUACGGGAGGCAGCAGUGGGGAAUAUUGGACAAUGGGCGCAAGCCUGAUCCAGCCAUGCCGCGUGAGUGAUGAAGGCCUUAGGGUUGUAAAGCUCUUUUAUCCGGGACGAUAAUGACGGUACCGGAGGAAUAAGCCCCGGCUAACUUCGU